GAUGAACGCUGGCGGCGUGCCUAAUACAUGCAAGUCGAGCGAACAGAUGAGGAGCUUGCUCCUCUGACGUUAGCGGCGGACGGGUGAGUAACACGUGGAUAACCUACCUAUAAGACUGGGAUAACUUCGGGAAACCGGAGCUAAUACCGGAUAAUAUAUUGAACCGCAUGGUUCAAUAGUGAAAGACGGUUUUGCUGUCACUUAUAGAUGGAUCCGCGCCGCAUUAGCUAGUUGGUACGGUAACGGCUUACCAAGGCGACGAUGCGUAGCCGACCUGAGAGGGUGAUCGGCCACAGUGAAACUGAGACACGAUCCAGGCACUGAGGGAAGGCAGCAGUAGGGAAGCUUCCGAAAUGGGCGAAAGCCUGACGGAGCAACGGCGGGUUAGUGAUGAAGGGCUGCGGAUCGUAAAACGCUGUUAUUAGGGAAGAACAAAUGUGUAAGUAACGAUGCACGUCUUGACGGUACCUAAUCAGAAAGCCACGGCAAACUACUU
rnacentral:rRNA from 1 species